ACAUGGAGGACUUAUUGGGGAGUGCUUGCUCUACUUAGAAGCCUGUCUUUCCCUGUGAAGAGGGCGGGAGCCACGCUGUUCAUCUUUGCUUCCCCACAGCCUGGCCAGGGCCGGACCAGAGGUUUUCUCUACAUGAUGGUUGAAGUGGAUCAAGGUCCUUUUGUCGGAGUGAUAGAUGUCAACUAUUGCAGUGGCUUUCCACUGGGUUGAGGGUGACCUUCCGAGAUGCAGAAGUAAUCUAGGCAAGGUUUUCAUAACAACAAUAAAUUUGGCCACCCAGGGUCUGUGAAGUCACCUGUAGGGUAGCCUUACUAGCUCUCGCUGACCACACCUGCCAGGAGUGUCCAGCAGGCUCGAGUGACCUUGGGCAUGCAGUGUUGCUCUUAAUUAUCUACAGAUUGAGCCAAGCUCAGAAAACAUAUUAAAUGUUUGCCUUUAGAUGGUUUCUGGUUUAAAGUACAUAAGGACAAUGAAGCAGGUUACAAAAAAAGCACUUAACAUUUA
rnacentral:lncRNA from 1 species